rnacentral:rRNA from 1 species
GACGUAGGGCGCAAGCGUUGUCCGGAAUUAUUGGGCGUAAAGAGCUCGUAGGCGGUUUGUCGCGUCGGCUGUGAAAACUCGGGGCUCAACCCCGAGCCUGCAGUCGAUACGGGCAGACUAGAGUGCUGUAGGGGAGACUGGAAUUCCUGGUGUAGCGGUGAAAUGCGCAGAUAUCAGGAGGAACACCGGUGGCGAAGGCGGGUCUCUGGGCAGUAACUGACGCUGAGGAGCGAAAGCGUGGGGAGCAAACAGG